CCUACGGGUGGCAGCAGUGGGGAAUAUUGCACAAUGGGGGAAACUCUGAUGCAGCGACGCCGCGUGAGUGAAGAAGUAAUUCGUUAUGUAAAGCUCUAUCAGCAGGGAAGAAAAUGACGGUACCUGAAAAAGAAGCUCCGGCUAACUACGUGCCAGCAGCCGCGGUAAUACGUAGGGGGCAAGCGUUAUCCGGAUUUACUGGGUGUAAAGGGAGCGUAGGCGGAAGUUUAAGUCUGGGGUGAAAGGCGGGGGCUCAACCCCCGGACGGCGCUUGAAACUGUACGGCUGGAGUGCAGGAGAGGUAAGCGGAAUUCCUGGUGUAGCGGUGAAAUGCGUAGAUAUCAGGAGGAACACCAGUGGCGAAGGCGGCAUACUGGACUAUAACUGACGCUGAGGCACGAAAGCGUGGGGAGCGAACAGGAUUAGAUACCCCUGUAGUC
rnacentral:rRNA from 1 species